UCGUUUUCUAAUCUCUUUGAAAAAUUAAGUGCAUUAGUACGUGUGUGUGUGUCUGUGUGUGUGUGUGUCUGUGUGUGUGUAUGUGUGUUUUAAAAAUCGUGAGUGCGAUGCUAAAUUCACGUUUAUUCGUUGCUCUUCGAGAGCUUGAAUUCAACUUGCUUGCUGCUGCCACGGUGUUCCCCUCUCCUAUUUUAUUCACCUUCUAUCCUUGGAUUGCUAUACAUAUGUGUUUCAAGCAAAAAAGAUAAAUCGCUAUCGAUAUCAUCCUACGGGUUAUUAUUUUACAUGAAUUUGUCAAAUCCUCUUUGAAAAUUCGACGCUUUAGUAGCCUCGAUGUUCCGAAUGUGUCGUGGCAACGAAUUCGACCGUUCAACCGGACGAGCGAUUUCGCGGACGAGCGCAAUGGUGUCACCGCUUGAUACGCGAUAAACGUAACUCGUUUUUACGUACGUUGGUUUAAAAAUUAUUCAUUGAUUAUUUAAAAUCGAACGACUAUUUUGUAUGCUUAAUAAAGAGAUAUAAAUUUUUUAAUAGAUACGAAUUAAUUGGUAUUGUAAUAAUUGAUAAUUAGUGUUAGAAACCAUUUUUUCAGCUCAUUGUUUGACGUACAAACGAAUUAUCCGAUUUGAAAUAAUGCUUUAAUGUGUUCUUUACCAAACGCAUUUAGGUUCUUCUAAAAUAUCAUAUUGUACUAUAUAUACUUGUAGUGUAUUUUAUUGGUUUCAUAGAGGGAAAACAUUUACGUUUAUUUGUUUCUUUUCGUUGUUUUUUCACCUAGUCAUUUAUAUACUUUUAUGCAAUACUCGCAUAAUAAAAAACUCGAUUGAUUAAAAAAAAAAAACCUAUCGUUAAAAUGUCAAGAAUCGGUCGAUUUUUAAUACGCGUUAAUUCUCUCAAUUCGUUCUUUAUGUACGUAUACGUAAAUAAGUCUGUGUGUGUAUGUGUGUAUAUAUAUGUAUAUCGUGAAAAUAUUCUAUGGACUUAUGGAAUUAGUUCUUGAUGAUUUAAAUCAACAGGGAGUGAUCGAUCAGUCGUAUUUAAAUAAAGAAUAAAAAGGAAGCAAAAUGAAAACACGUUACGUUAUUUACUUACUCAAAAAAAAAGAAAAAGAAACGAAAUGUAUAAUAUAUAACUAACAAUAAUUGUUAGGAUAUAUAGUAACAAAAAUUUAAAAAGAUCAGAUACUUAACGAUAUAGAGUGCAAAAAUUUUCUCGGAAAGAUACGGAAAGACAAACGAAAGAAUAUUUUUUAAUCCUUCCUAAAGUUAUCGUGAAUAAAAAUCUAUAAGAAAAAAAAAUGCAAUCAUACGUUAAUAUUAUUAUUUCAAAUUAGACGAAAGUUAUGCAAAUUAUUUUUAUCACAGUUACACUAUACAGAUAUUACACUGUAUAGAUAUUUACAUUACAUGACGAUUGAUAAAACUAACGUUAUAUCAAUCGUUAUGUUUUCGAACGAUAUUCAAACAUGCUUAUAUGGGUUAAAAAUUCCAAUGAAGUCGAACAAACCUUACACAUGCUUAUAUAUGUAUACUUUGCUACAUAAAUGUAAUCUAUAAAACUCAUAUUUGUGAUGUGAAAUAAGCAUCGUUUAGAUUCUCUGACACAGUAUAUAUGUACAUUCAUACGUAUAUACGCACAUACAUACAUAUAUGCAUACAUACAUGCAUACAUAUAAUCGCUCGUCGUUCAUUUUAUCACAAGCCAGAACGACUUUUGAUCUUUAAGUGGUUCUAAGAAAUCGUUGGAAGGAAAGAGCAGGUAGUUAGUCGUUUUCAUUACUUAUUCAUCGAUCGAUAGUUGAAGUCUUUAUAUAAAUGACGAAUAUUCACCAAUCAUCUGUACUUCUUUUCUUUUCUUAUUCGAAUAUUGUACCAUUCCUAUCAAAUAUCUUAGUCUUACGUUUUUCUCUUUCUAUUUAGAUACUUUUAUUUCGACACAGUCUAUUUUUCGCAUCAAUUCAAAUUAUUUAUACAUUUACUUAUCCUGUUUUAUUCGCGUAACGAUACGCUAUUACGAAACGAUAAAUUUGUGUUUCCUCUCUACCUGUCUCUCUUCCUCUCUCUCUCUCUCUCUCUCUUUUCCUCUCUCUCUCUUUCGAAAAUCAUUUCAUUUGUUCGAGGUUUAACAGCGCGUACCGUCACGACGACAAAUUCAACGAAUAUUUCUUCCAUUCUCUCGAGUACGAUAGCUUUUAUAGUCUCUCUCUCUCUCUCUCUCUCUCUCUCUCUCUCUCUCUCCCUCUUUCUCUCUUUCUUUUUCUCUGUCUCUUGUAUUAUCAUCGAAUUUUUCUCAAAUAUUUCUCUUCCAUUUCUCUAUCUCUCUCUCUCUAACCCUAUUUAAUUUCUUUUUAUUAUGUAAUUGUUAACGAAAAAUUGGCAUGUAGCGAUGAAUCCCUUACGGGUAACCCAUCGUUAUAUCCAAAGGAAUUCGAUGCCGCUGCAGUAUUCGAAGGCGAGAAAGCUGAUCGCGAUUCCAUCAAAUAGAAAUUGACUUACGUUUGCUUCCGAAGCGAAUCGUUCGAAAAUAUUUACGGAAUACGCAGCGGAACGCGUAUACGUAAUCAUUAUAUAUUGUUCUAAAAUCAAAAUAAAAGAAAAUGGGAAAAACGAAAAAUUUAUCCGAAAAACGUAUCGUAUCACGUCUAUAUGCUUUGUGUUCCAUAAUUAAUAAUUAAUAAUUGAUCGAUUCGGUCUGGUUAAUUAAGAAAAAGUAUUCCGACGAUUCAUUGCUCGUCGAAUAAAAGAUGCUUCGUAACUCUUAAAUGGCAGCGGCAAACAAUAAACAGACGUUUCUACUUCGAUCAAUGAGUUUACGUUUUCUAUGAUCUCAACUUUUGUUUUUACGUGUGUAAAAAUAAAAAUGAUAUAAUCAAAAACUUAUACAUCAUAACUUAUGCUUAGGAAACAUUAAUUUUCAGAUAGAAACAGGGAAUUAAUUUAUGACGAACAAAAAGAAGGAGAGAGGAAAAAAAAGAAAAGAUUAAAAUAAAAAAUGAAAUAAGAAUAUACGAGUGCGUAACUUAAAAAUUAUAUAUGAUGCUAUAAAGAGUUAAUGAUUUGUAAGUGAUAACGAAAUUUGCACGAAUAAUGUCUAAGGUGGAUCGCGUUAACGAGGAAAAAGGAAAAGAGACUGACCGAUGUUUUAGCGAUAAUUUGCCCGUACGAGGACGAGCGAGAGUAAACGCGUAGGAAGGUGGUAUCCUCGGCAGGUUUCGUCACGGUGCUGCGAGUGAGGAACGUUCUCUUCGUUUGCAUUCUGUGCACAUGUAUACGAUCAUCAUCGGAUGUUACAUACACAUAUAAAACAUACAUAUAUAAAACGUUACGAACGAACAUAUUCCGUGUAUCUUUCAUUAUGUGUCGAUCCUGUGUCCGUGUUUGUGGUUCGAGUGUAUCCUGAAGUCGUAAAGUGACGAUAUUUUGUGUUUAUUUUCUUUUUUUAUCUUCAUCGUUAUUUCUCAUAUGAUAAUGUGCCAAGGUGAAGCGUGGAAAACAGUUUUUUUUGUCACGGAUUUUUCAACGAUAGCGAGGAAGAACCGGCAGAGGGGACAUCGUGGAAAAAGUAAAUUAUAGUAACAGAAAAGUCAGAGCUACCUAGAUCGUGUAGGAUUUACUACACGAUCCUUCAACGGAAACGAGCAAAUUCGAUCGUAAAAAAAAGCUUCUCCGUGAACGAUCGCUUAAUCGCACGAUGAAUCUCUCAGGACUUCCUACUUUAUUCUUGCUCGUCAUAGUGGAUGACCUUGAAAACCAGGAAAGUUUAAUAACGGUGAUCGAAACAUUCAAUUCUACCAGAAUCGUAAUGUCGACUGUGCUUUUUGUGGUUUAAUCAAAUGACCACGCGCUUCUUUGUUUUAAAUGACUCACAGCUGUUUACCAACGAUCACGAUGUAAGAGUGAAAUUCCGGAACUAAUGAAAUAUUCUAGAAAUUUCUAUGAUAAUAUUAUUACAGUAGUGCUUAAUGAUCCUCUAUUUGAUAUAUUCAUCUUUAUGAGAUAACAAACAAUGUCCUUCGUUGUGACUUUACUAUCGCUUACUGUUAACGCUUUGAUUAUUAUUCAUUGAUUAUUCAUGUCCUUCGAUGUAUAGGCUAAACAAUCGGAUAUUUGGCUGCACAUAUAUAUGUGAAAUAUUUGCGUGUAAAUAUGUACAUAUCUGGGAAGAAUCGAAACAAACGAGACGACAUAUUUAUAUUUCAUGAUUCUUCCUCUUUCAAAUAUUAUAUAAAAUUAAGUUUCUAUUUGGAAAAUAAAAGAAGAAAAAAUAAAUUACAAAAAACGAAUGACAUUUCGACAAGGACAGAAUAUAAAUUAUCAUCGAAAUUUAUUUUAGUGUCAAUACCUUCGUGAACGCAGAUAUAUAUCGAGUAUAAAAUUUAUAAUCGAAGAGUCACAGAAUGACGUAGACAUGCGUACAAACGAGAGAUAGAGUGGGAGAAGAGCGAAACGGAGUCAAGCGCUUUCGCAUACGAUCCUUGAAAUGCACUUUCUAUGUAUGAAUAUUCGACACUUGGAAUAAUCGUCACGUUCGAAUGUUAAGCAUGUCUUUCUGUCUUUGUCUCUCUCUCUCUCUUUCUCUUUCUCUCUCUAUCUAUCUAUCUAUCUAUCUAUCUAUCUAUCUGUCUAUCUAUCUAUUUAUUUCUCAAAUUCAAUUCUCAAAACUCCGACUUACACAAAAUUGUCAUACAUAUUAGAAUAUAAUAUACGUAUACGUCUAUGAUUUGUAAUGAAUUUGUAUAUUUGUAAAACAAAAUAUUUUACAUGUUUCUUCUAUGUCAUUUCAAUGUGUAAUAAAUAAAUAAAUAUAAUAAGCGUAUAUUAUUCUUAUAAACAAAAGAAAAGAGAAGAAAUGAAAAUUUAGUAAAUAUAUUUUUUAUUAGAAUAAUCGAUCUCAACUAUUUAGAAUAGUACAAAUACUCCUGUUACGUUUCGUACAAUUUAAAAGGUAGAGAAACAACAUAACUGUUUUUCCAGCUGAUCGUCUCAUAUUCUCGUGAUUUUUAAAUAAUAGACAUUUGACAUCCUGCGGAUAUCCGUACGUUAGGGUGCGAUAUCACAGCGUGUAUCCGUCGAAAUGAAUUCGUACGAACGAAAACGUGACGUUGUAGUAAAACGAUUUCUUUUUCCACGUUCUGAUUUCAAAGAGACUCCAACAAAAUCGGCGUGAAUUUUAAUAAGUGAAAAUUUCGAGAAUCAUCAAGAAAAGAAAACGGAGAUGUUCGUAAUGAUUCAGUAAAGAGUGCUCCAUAUCUAGACUCUUAACGUACAUACAAACAUAUAUAUGUAUAUAUAUAUAUAUAUAUAUAUAUAUAUAUACAUAUAUAUGUAUAGAUACAUAUGUAUCUGUAGUAAAGACUUAUACAGUUAGAAAACUGGUUUUCGUCUUCUCUCGCAUCAAGCGAUUCUAUUCGUAUGAUCGAAGUCUCGCGUGUAGCGGGACCAGGUCAGUCCGGUGACGACUCUAUACUUAACCAAUUUUUUUUCUUCAUCUUCUUCUACUUUUUCUUUUUCUUCUUCUUCUUCUUCUUCUUCUUCUUCUUCUUCUUCUUUCCUUUUCUCUUUAUUUCAAACAACAUCAACAAAAUCGAACGAUUUCCUAAGUUAGCGUAGUGACCAAAAAGGAAACCACAUCUCUAAUACUGCACUGUUCAAUCGUUACUACUUUGGCAAAGGGAUAGGCAACGAGUGAAUUAAAACUUUUUAAUAGGAUAGUCGUGUAGCUAUCAGGACCACUAAAUUUGCAUUUCGAGUGAGAGACCGAUAGCGGCUACUGGACUGUAUAAAGUUGGUUCGAACUUUAACAUCGAUUAGAACAUUCUAAUUUCUACCUUUGAUCUAUCUAUUUUAUUAUAAUAGAAAGAAAAAUAUGUAGUUCAAUAUUGUAGAUUUUUUUUUUAAUUCAAAAAAGAAUUCACAAACAUUAAUUUUUCGAUAUUAAUUUAAAGGAAAUAAAUGAAAGAACACUUAAAAAAUAUGCAUAUAUGAAUACGAAGUUAUAUGAUGUUAUAAAGCAGCGUCUUUCAACCUUUAGGUCAUGAAGUUCAAUACAUUUGUUUGUAAUGGUAACAUAUAAAUACAAUUUUUACGUGACCUCAGUCAUCGUAUAUUAUUUCAAAAAUACGAAUGUUACUAAACAUUCUACAAGAACGUUUUAUAAAUCCCUUACAAAUUAAUUACUUUUCUCGUUAUUUAGUUUGCUUUAUCUUAAAGUAGUAAUCAUAGUUAAUUAAAGAUUUAACAUGACCCAUAGGUUGAGAAACUCUGUUAUAGAGGCCUAAAGAAAACAUAAUAGAUCGUACACUCAUGAUUGCAUGAAAGAUCAACAAAAAUAAUCAACUCUUAGAAAGAAAAUUUUACAAACCUGAUCUUCGAAAAAAUCAUACUUCGAUGUAACUAGCUCAUAGUCACGAUCGGUUGGACCACAUAAGUCUAUAAAAAUCGAACCAAAAAGCAAAUGAUUGCGUUAGGUACGUUGAACUGGCGUUCGUUGGUGGUUAAUUUUUAUCGGCUAUGCCAGCGACUAGUUCCAAAUAUAAACCGUGUUUCGUGUAUGCGACGCGCUUCGAAAGCGCUCUCAGAUGUACGCUUUCCUCUUUGAGCUUCGUCUCUCCGCCAGCGAAGAGUUUAUUUUCUAGUCUCGUGACACGUGCGGAGACGACUGCUGCUGCCGAGCUACAUCCGUGCUUACCUCGACAGACGGACAGAAAGA